UACGAACGCUGGCGGCAGGCUUAUUCAUGCGCGUCCCACCAGAACCUCCGGGCUUUGCCAGGGCAAGUACUUGUGGCUGACGGGUGCGUAACGCGUAGAUAACCUGCCCUCUCGCGCGGGACAAUCCCGGGAAACCGCGGCUAUAUACCAUACGACAUCCAAGCCCCGCAUGGGGGCUGGAUGACAACUUGGUUACUGCCAAGGGCCUUUGGAUGGGUCUGCCUCGGAUUAGCUUGUUGGUGAGGUAACGGCUCACCUUGGUAACGAUCCUGAACUGGUCGGACAGGACUAUGAGUCACGCUGGGACUGACACACCGUCCACACUCCUAUCGGAGGCGUCUGUGGGGAAUCUUGCACAAUGGGGUCACCCCUGAUGCAACCAUGCCACGUGGAGGAAGACACCCCUAUGGGGCGAAAACUCCUUUUCUCGACAGAAGAACCCCCUGUAAGUUCCAGGUGUGACCGUAUCUCAGGAAUAAGCAGCGAGCCACCCCUUGCCGACCGCCCCUGUAAUACUGAAGGUGCAGGCGUGGUCCUCGAAUUCUCUGGGCGUAAAGGGUGCUCGCGCGGGGCAUCGAGUCGGACGUGAAAGCUCGUGGCUACUCCACCGAAGCGCCUUCUAAACUGUUGCUCGAGAGUCCCGGAGAGGUGACCCGAAUUCCUGGCUGUAGCGGUGACAGCGUAGAUAUCUCGUGGAACACCAGAGGUGAAGCGUGUCUACUGGACGGGUAUCGACGCUCAGGCAUGCAAGAGCGUCGAGCACACUCGAUUAGAUACCUUGGUAGUCCGGGCUUUAUAGGAAGAUUGCUGCAUGUUAUUGCGACUCCGGAAUAUCGGAUAAGCUAUCGCGUAAUGCAGUGCGACUGGGGAGUAUGAUCGUACGGUGGAAAGUCAAGGGAUUUGACGUGGGCCUGCACACGCGGCGGAGCCUCCGGUUAAAUUCGAUGAAUCGGGAAGAACCUUACACCGUCUGGAAUGCUAGGGGACCGCUCAUGAAAGGGAGCUUUGCGCAUGCACCCAUAGCGAGGUAGCCCAGGGCUGUCGUCAGUUUGUGUGGUGAGAAGAUGGGUUAAGUCCCGCUAGGAGUGUAACCCUUGUCGUUAGUUACCAGCGUGUAGUGCGCGGGGCCUCUAGCGAGAUCCGCCUGCGCAAGCAGUGAGGAAGGUGGGGACGAGGUUAUGUUAUCACGGUCGGUAGAUCGUAGGGCUGCACACGUGUUACAAUGGUCGCGACAAUGAGCAGCCACCUCACGAGGGGGAGAGUAUAUCUCAAACCCGAUCGCAGGUGGGAGGGGAAGUCCGCAACUCGACUCCAUGAAGCAGAGAAUGUCUAGUAAUAGUGGAUCUAGCAAUGCCGCUGUGAAUUCGGUCCUCGGGCGCUGUACACACCGCCAGUCAAGCCAUAGAAGCCGAUAGCACCCGAAGUCCGCGACUCAAGUCGGGAGAUCAGCCUGAGGGAGAGCGGCCGAAGGUGAGCUCAGCGACGGGGGCGU
rnacentral:rRNA from 1 species